ACAGCUUUAUGCAUCUGUAUGACUGAUGAGAAGACAGGACACUUCCAUCAUGCAGGAAUGGAAGAUCUGGGAUCCACCCCAUAACAGGGAUGGCCCUGUUUGGAAGAGAAGCGAUCAGAUUAAGGGAUCGUUCAUGCAGCUCUUGUGAAUGGUUCCCUUCCAAUGGGUUUGUUCUUGCUGUCUGUCCUGUUCUGGGGAGACCAGAGAGAACGUCCACCCUCCACUGACAAGCAGUAGUGUAUCUCUUGAGUCCCCUCUCUUUUUGUUGAUAAAUGCUCUUGGUAAU